UACGUAGGGUGCGAGCGUUAAUCGGAAUUACUGGGCGUAAAGCGUGCGCAGGCGGUUCGUUGUGUCGGCGGUGAAAGCCCCGGGCUUAACCUGGGAAUGGCCGUUGAAACUGGCGAACUGGAGUGUGGCAGAGGGGGGUGGAAUUCCGCGUGUAGCAGUGAAAUGCGCAGAGAUGCGGAGGAACACCGAUGGCGAAGGCAGCCCCCUGGGCUAACACUGACGCUCAGGCACGAAAGCGUGGGGAGCAAACAGG
rnacentral:rRNA from 1 species